rnacentral:rRNA from 1 species
GUGCCAGCAGCCGCGGUAAUACGAAGGGGGCUAGCGUUGUUCGGAAUCACUGGGCGUAAAGCGUAUGCAGGCGGGUCGUUAAGUGAGAGGUGAAAUCCCGAGGCUCAACCUCGGAACUGCCUUUCAUACUGACGAUCUUGAGUCCGGGAGAGGUGAGUGGAACUGCGAGUGUAGAGGUGAAAUUCGUAGAUAUUCGCAAGAACACCAGUGGCGAAGGCGGCUCACUGGCCCGGUACUGACGCUGAGAUACGAAAGCGUGGGGAGCAAACAGGAUUAGAUACCCCAGUAGUCC